AGAGUCAACGCUGGCGGCGUGCCUAACACAUGCAAGUCGAACGAGAAAGGGGAGCAAUCCCUGAGUAAAGUGGCGACCGGGUGAGUAACACGUGACUAACCUACCUUCGAGUGGGGGAUAACUCCGGGAAACCGUGGCUAAUACCGCAUAACAUCCUCGGAUCGGAAGAACUGGGGAUCAAAGGAGCAAUUCGCUUGAAGAGGGAGUCGCGGCUGAUUAGCUUGUUGGCGGGGUAAUGGCCCACCAAGGCGAUGAUCGGUAUCCGGCCUGAGAGGGCGCACGGACACACUGGAACUGAAACACGGUCCAGACUCCUACGGAGGCAGCAGUGGGGAAUUUUGCGCAAUGGGGGAAACCCUGACGCAGCAACGCCGCGUGGAGGAUGAAGUCCCUUGGGACGUAAACUCCUUUCGACCGGACGAUAAUGACGGUACCGGUGGAAGAAGCCCGGCUAACUUCGCGCCAGCAGCCGC
rnacentral:rRNA from 1 species